rnacentral:rRNA from 1 species
GACGAACGCUGGCGGCGUGCCUAAUACAUGCAAGUAGAACGCUGAAGGAGGAGCUUGCUCUUCUGGAUGAGUUGCGAACGGGUGAGUAACGCGUAGGUAACCUGCCUGGUAGCGGGGGAUAACUAUUGGAAACGAUAGCUAAUACCGCAUAAGAGUAGAUGUUGCAUGACAUUUGCUUAAAAGGUGCAAUUGCAUCACUACCAGAUGGACCUGCGUUGUAUUAGCUAGUUGGUGGGGUAACGGCUCACCAAGGCGACGAUACAUGGCCGACCUGAGAGGGUGAUCGGCCACACUGGGACUGAGACACGGCCCAGACUCCUACGGGAGGCAGCAGUAGGGAAUCUUCGGCAAUGGACGGAAGUCUGACCGAGCAACGCCGCGUGAGUGAAGAAGGUUUUCGGAUCGUAAAGCUCUGUUGUAAGAGAAGAACGAGUGUGAGAGUGGAAAGUUCACACUGUGACGGUAUCUUACCAGAAAGAGACGGCUAACUACGUG